rnacentral:rRNA from 1 species
CCUAGUUCGGAUUGCAGGCUGAAACUCGCCUGCAUGAAGCUGGAAUUGCUAGUAAUCAUAGGUCAGCAUACUAUGGUGAAUACGUUCCCGGGCCUUGUACACACCGCCCGUCACACCAUGAGAGUUGAGAAUACCCGAAGUCCAUGUCAAAGUGGCCGAAGGUAGGCUUGAUGAUUGGGGUGAAGUCGUAACAAGGUAAC